UGUAAAGGUAAACUUACUGGAGCUGGCUGGGGGAGAGUAGGAAAAUUUGUUCCAGAAGGAGCUGUCUGA
rnacentral:snoRNA from 1 species